GAAGUAAUGAAAAAUUUGGUACCAUAAGGCGGUUUUGAGAUUUUGGCGACUCGAUCGUUUGCAUCGGAAUUACUACGCCUCCUUAUAUACAAAGGGUGUGCUACCUGGACAGGCUUUCGAGAUAGUACGGGUUAAAACAUGAUCAUGCAAAUAAUAUCAGUUAGUCACAAAGUAUGUUGGACAAUUAUUAUGAUCUUUUGAUGUAUUUAUCUUUACAAGAUACGGUGGUCGAAGUUGGUUUAGAAUUGUAUAACUUACGAGAUCGGAGUUCGUUAGCAGUUGAACUACUUUACCGUUUCAAGUGCGCGAACCGAUUAGUGGAGAUAUAAAAAGAAGUCCAGGGAAGACGUCAUAGUAUUUGUUUAGGAAAGUGACUCUUUAUCGUCCACUGUGUGUAUCUAUCGAGAUCAAGAAAGAGAGAACUGAGUUUCAAUCUAUUUGAUGCCUUUGCAAGUGUUAAACGGAACCCAUAUUGUAACACAAGAAGUCGACAGAAGUAAA
rnacentral:rRNA from 1 species